UUAUAGUUUUUGUGUUUGUUAUCAACCAAUUACUUUGUUAAUAGUUAUGUCAAAUCGAAAUAAUGCAAAUAUCAUAGAAGGGAGGUAGUAUAGUGGAUUUGUUUUUCAAUCACAAGAAUCAAACUCUUCUAUGUGUUUGGUAUUUCCAAGUGGGUGAUGCAAUAGCUCCCACAUUGAUUGAUGUGAAAGCGUAGAGAGACUAAUGCGUUUCACUAUCCUCAUUAAUGGGAGUUAAGUUGCGUAGAUUCUAGAUGGAUAAAACGAGAAGAAAGUGUGUACACAAACAUCACUUUCAUACUUUUCAUCAAUUUUGAUUAAAUUUUGUUAAAAAUAGUUUAUUUAGUUUUAACUUUAAUAAUUAUGCUUAUUUAAACGAAUUUUAAAAUUAGCUUUUAUUUAGCAAAUUUUUAUAUAUAUUAUUUCCCUUGCUAACAUGAUUUAUAUCUGACCAUUAUCCUGAAUUGGCAAGAUCUAUAUACAAUUAAUCAGAAAACUAUUUAAAUUUUGCUCAUCAAUUAUUGAACAUUCUCUAUUAUUUAUCUCAUGCAAUUUUUUCUUUUCUUGAAUUAGAACAACCCAAACUUCAUGUCCUCAUAAUUAUGUGUAUGGUUAAUUAUCAAAAAGUAUAUUUAUGAAGUAACAAAAGAUUACUACUAUUCUUGAUUUUUGGGGAUAUUGGAGUAUAAGGUUAGGGAUGACAUUGAAAAUGGACAAUAUUCCCUAAAUAUCUAAAAAGUAUAUUUAUGAAGUAACAAAAGAUUAUCCCAUCAAUUUUGUGAAGUUAAUAAGUACUACUCCUAUAAUUUUAUAAAUUUUAAUUACUUGAUAGAAAAUAAAUAGAAAAUAAGUACUACUCCUACAAUAUUCCCUAGAAUCAGAAAUUGUGUUCCUUUGAAAACUUUAAUAUAAGAUCAUCCCAAACUUUCCUCCUCGCGACAUACUUUGCAACCCAAGCAAUCCUACCAUUUUCUCCCCUGAUUUUGUUCCAUCAUAUUCUUCCUCAAAUUCUAAGCGAUUAUCGAAGCCAACAAUCAUCUUUGUUCCAUCUGUCAAGGAACCAAUUCAACCAAAAACUUAAGCUGAUGGUUGAAGCCCCAGGAUAUGUUAUAUACUCUAACACCAUCCUUUUCCUCUGAUUUUCGAGUAUAACAAACAAAACAACAACAGGUAUAAUCUUUCCUCUCUCUUACUUAGAUUUCGAAGGUAAUUGCAACAAAUCAUCUUCAUUUUCUUUUCUUUUUCUUCUUGAGUCAUUGAUAUUCCUUCUACCCUUGAAUCAGUCGAACAACCAUAACCAUGGGCUUCAUGAUUGUUUUUCGAAAGCUGCAGAAAAUAUUCUGAAAUUUGGGACUAGAAUGCGAAACAGACAUUGUUGUGUGCCGUUUGUUUCAUUCAAAGCAGGGCCAUUAUCCUACUAAUUAAGACUGUCUACAUAUCGGAACCGGUCGGAAACGAUGGGUUAACGGUGAUGAUUAAAGUUAAAUGGAUGUUAAAUUGAGAUGAGUACGUGAGAAAUUAUAGCUUUGUAUUAGGUUUUGGUAAAUGUAUAUUGGACUAGAUUGUAUUGGUUAUGUUGGACUUAUAGAGUGACUUUUAUGAUUACUUUGUAUUUUAGCUAGAUGUUUGGUUUGAGAGUUAGCUAAGUUAGUUACGUUGAAGAAUUUAUGGCAAGAAAAAAGUCAACAAAGCUGAAUUGGAAAAGAAAUGCAUCCUUUCAACACUCCCUCUAAACUUGUGACUCUUUUGCUCAAGUUUUGAAAGUGUGAUUUAAGUUUUUUAGGAAAUAAAACCCGUGAUAAUCCUGUUUACUCAGUCAACGGUAAAUCGGGUUGCUACAUUGAAAGUGUGAGUAAAUUAUAAAGAAACAAAAUUGUGGGCAUGUUGCUCUCAACAUAUGUAUAAUUUCUGUGACAUUUGCCUAAAUAUUCCUUAAA